UUUAUAUUGAUUGAUUCAAAAUAAACUAUACAUUUCUAAAUUCUAUAACUUUUUGUAAUGUCAAUUUUUUCUAAUGUCAGGUCCAAUUUAAAAUAGAUUUUGGUUUCUCCAAAAGAUGCAAAUUUACUCUUUUGCAUUAUUUUCUCUCUUCCUUUUACGCUGCAAAAUUCCAUCUCUCUUCCUCUUCUGCUUUCUUCUCUCUUUUGUUGCCUUUCUUUUCAUGUGUUUUUUCUUCUCUCUUCAACCUCUCUUUUCCUCUUCUUCUUUCUCCUCUCUUCCUUUUCUUCAAUAAAGACAACCGGGUCGUGGGACGAUUUACAGAAAUCUACAAAUCGAAGUUUUUUAAGGUUUGUGCUUUUUAUCUUUCUUUACUUAGAUCUACAAAACUCUAUUUAGAGAUGACACAAUGGCUAGAGAUUUAAGGGUUUGUUUUUUUCUUAUUCUGAUUUUAGAAUUUCAGUGUGAGAAAAAUGAAAUAAAAAACAAGUUAGGUUUUCUGUUACAUCUUCUUCUUUCUCACUACUGUGACAUGUUUGUAUCGUGUAUUGUGUUUUGUUAUAUUUGUUACACAGUCAUGUUUUCUAUUAUUGACUGUGAAUAAAAUGGUUGGUACUUUAAUAGUUUUUUAUUUCAGUUAUUUGUGGUUUACACAUUUGUCUUUGAAUCUUUUCAAUCAGUUGGUUUUGAUUAUCCACCUGUGGGGUGAUUUGUGUGUUUAUUAUGUCCCUGUGGUAGUUUUAUUUUGACCUAAGAUUGUUGGUGUUGCAAAAAUGGAAAAGAAUAAUCAAUAUUGGCAUGUCUAUUACUGUUACGACAACUAUUCAUGUUAUGGAAAAGAUAUGGACUUCCUACAGCUCAUCAUGAAGUAUGCAUUCAUAUACUUAUUUGGUUGUUGAGUAAUUCUUUAACUACCUACCCAUUAUUAUUUAAUGCCACCAAUCAACCUAAAUUAUCCCUUAAACAUUAUUUAUUCAUGCCUACUAAAAGGACAUAACAGUAAAAUACAUAUUACCUAAUCUUAGAAUUGUUGAGAACAAUUCAUGGCAUUUUUCAAUUGGUCCGAAUUUUAUUAUGUCCUUUAUAUCAAUUUUCCCUCUCUUUUCACCCCAUUUAAUUUUUUUUUCUUUAUCAAAAAAGUUUCUCUUUUUCCCUCACUCUCUCUUUUCUCGUCUCCCUGUUUCUCUUUCUUCUUCCUCAUUCAUUUUCUUCUCCUUUCAUCACUUUCCAUUUCUCUUUCUCCCCUUUCAACCAAGUUCUUCUUCCUUUUACAAAGCAACCAUCUCCUUCUUUUCUUUUGUGUUCAUAUUUCAACACGAAAAAUAAAGUAAUGGGCAUGGAAACAAGAUGAAAAAGGUGGUAAAGAUGUCUAGAGACCGAAGGCGUCGUGUUUAUUGAUUUUGUUCUUGAUGAUGUUUGGAAAGAAGUUGAAAACAGUAAUUGCUUGCAGGAUAUGGUUUUCAAACUUUUGCUAAUAAUUUUAGAGUUUUGUUGGUUUUUGAAAUUGAUGGGUAUGCUAGUGCCCUUUUGAAAUUUUGAAAUGUGUUUUAAAAAUAAAGUGAAAUUAUACUUGAAAUUGUGUGUAAUUUUGAAGUUGGAUCUAGCCUUUAAUGUCA